GAAGACACUUGCUUUGAAAACGGAAAUGGAUGGCGAAUCUGAAGGACAGUUUAUUUUAGGUAUAUUUGCAGGAUGUUGUCCACUUAGUCACUGAUGGGAAUCGUAGCACCUACCCUGUACACGGACAUUGAUGGAGAUCGUAGCACCUACCCUGCACACAGACAUUGAUAGGGAUCGUAGCACCUACCCUGCACACAGACAUUGAUGGGGAUCGUAGCACCUACCCUGCACACAGACAUUGAAUGGAGCUGCCUGGUCCAUUAUCAGAAGAGUGGGCAUCACUGUGCAUCCGAUCAGUGAAGUUUCUCGAGAAGCAUUAUGAGGAACUUGUAUGAAUGGGCAGGAGAAAUAUUCUUGAAUCACCAGUCCAUCAUUGCCUGCUGUUGUUGGAGGAUGAACACUUUAAUGAACAUUGAUGGAGUGUAGCAAUCAAUGGGAGCCCUCGUUUACCCUAAGAAGAGUCAGAGAACUCCCUGGGCCUCUUGAGAUGGUGACACCCUGCAGUAGGAGCAGUUCCUACCGGUAUCUCUUAAAAGCAGACAAAGGUUUUCUUAGCAUCUGAUCCAUUUCUGGAGACAAACUUUUGUAUGGAGCUGGUAAAAUUUCUAACUUCUUUUGAUUGUCUGAGCUAUAAGCUCAAGUGGACUUUUCUGAUUACCCAGUGUCUGUCGUACAUUUGUCUGUCCAUCUCACUGUAAACUUAUUUUCAACUUCUCUACAAUCACAUAGCCCAAUUUCAACCAAACUUAGUACGUUAAAGGAUUAAAAAUCGUUUAAAUGAAGGACCUUCAAAGGUUAGAUAAUCAACAAUUGAAAAAAGAUAGCAUGGGAUCAUCUAAGAAUCAACUCCAUAAUUACUGAGCUAGAAAUGACGAAACCUCUAUAAGCUUGUUAUAACCAUGAUCCACGGGGGUCAAUUAGGAUCACAAUAGGGUAUCAAACUUUUACUUUCAAAUGUAAAGGUAAAAUCUUUGAAAAUCUUCUCAAAAAUCACUGUGCUAGGACAAUACAAAUGUAUAUGCCAGCUUCCUCACGUAGUGCAGAUUCAAGUUUGUUAAAAUUAUGGUGCCCGAGUAUAGAAUAGGACCAUAAUAUUGGAUCAAAGUUUUACAUAUAGAUAUACAUGUAUAGGGAAAAUCUUUUAAAGAUCGUCUUCGGAAAUAUCACUCAGCCAUUUUUUUUUUUUUACAUUUACCAGAAAGCUUCCUGACAUAGUGCAAAUUCAAGGGUUUUUUUUUACAAUUCACUGAGGAGAAGGGUGGAGUCACAAAUAAGGGAUGAAAGUUUUACAUACAAAUAUGUAAGGAAAAUCUUUAAAAAUGUUCAUCUCAAUAACCAUUAGACCAAAGAAGUUUACAUUUACAUGAAAGCUUCCUGACAUAGUGCAAAGUCAAGUUUAUAAAAUUCAUGGACCUUGGAGGUGGGAUGGGGCCACAAUAGGGAACAAAGUUUUACAUGUGAACAUAUGGGGAACAUCCUUAAAUAUGGGACAAGUUGACUCAGGUGAGCAGUGUGCCCAUGGAGCUCUUUUAAUGUUUUGUUAUUAUUCCCCCCGCAACAAGUUGUGGGGGGAGGGGGGGUAUACUGGAAUCGGGUUGUCCGUCUGUCUGUCCGUCCGUCCGUCUGUAGACGCAAUGGUUUCCAGGCUCUAAAGCAUUAUCCUUUUCACCUACCGUCACCAUAUCAUACAUAUGGACUACCAAUGGGAUGAAGAUGUUCCCUAUCGAUUUUGGGGUCAAAAGGUCAAAGGUCAAGCGCACUGGACAUCAAAGUAGCAAUAUGGUUUCCGGGCUCUAAAGUGUUAUCCUUUCCACCUACAGUCACCAUAUCAUACAUAUGGACUACCCAUGGGAUGAAGAUGUUCCCUAUUGAUUUUGGGGUCAAAGGUCAAGCGCACUGGACAUCGAAGUAGCAAUAUGGUUUCCGGGCUCUAAAGUGUUAUCCGUUCCCCUACGGUCACCAUAUCAUACAUAUGGACUACCCAUGGGAUGAAGAUGUUCCCUAUCAAUUUUGGGGUCAAAAGGUCAAAGGUCACGUACACUGGACAUCGAAGUAGCAAAAUGGUUUCCGGGCUCUAAAGCGUUAUCCUUUCCACCUACAGUCACCAUAUCAUACAUAUGGACUACCCAUGGGAUGAAGAUGUUCCCUAUCGAUUUUUGGGUCAAAAGGUCAAAGGUCACGCGCACUGGACAUCGAAGUAGCAAUAUGGUUCGGUUUGUCAUGCCAUUUGUUUUUUACCCUCAGAAAAGAGGUAGUUUAUACCUACUACCAACAUCCUUUGGGAGAUUGGGGUAAGCGGGGGGGUAUUCUUAGUGAACAUUGCUCACAGUACCUCUUGUUGACACCAGGUACACUGAUUCAACAACACAAAAUGUUUUCUAUUGAUUUUUCAUCAAUUCUUUAUUCUUAAAUUCUGUCCUUAAGUAACAAUUGCUAAUAUGAUGCCAUGGUAUUUAUUUUAAAAAUCAGGAAUAAGUAAAGAUUGAUAUAUUUACAAUGAACUUUUAAGACUCUUUAUUCAUACAUGUACGUGGUUUAGGUAUUAAACAUGUUGAUGAAUACUGAACUUUACAUUGGGAAGUGAGGGGUGGAGAACUAUUUUCUGAAGUUUACGUUGGGAGGUGAGGGUGGAGAACUAUUAUCUAAACUUUAUGUUGGGAGGUGAGGGAUGGAGAACUAUUUAAUUUUCUGAACGUGAUGUCGAGACGUGAUGGGUUGGGCUGGAUAACUGUUUUCAGAACUUUAUGUAGUGAGGUGACACGGAUGAGAACUAUUUUCUGAAAUUCAACGUUGAGACAAGAGGGGAUGGAGAACUAUUUUCUGAAAUUUAUGUUGGGGGUUGAGGGGGUGAGAAACUAUUCAUUGAUGUUGUAUGGGACUUGAUGUAUACAGAGAUUAGAUAUUGUGGUAUGAGUGUUUUUAAAUUGAGGUUUGUUCUCAAUUUGGUACAUUCAGAAUGAUUACAUGGAUUUGUAGGCAUUUGUGUUCUGAUAGCAUAAUAUAAUGGUGGGAAAAAUCUUUUUGCUUACCUAGUACUUAAUGUUGAAAUAAAUUUUACAGGGUAGCAGUUACUUGAGAUGUCCAGCUGAUUGAUGAGGAUAAUUUCCCCGAGACUCUAACAUUUUGUAGGACUUGGAUAGCUCUAUUGCUGUAGAAAAUGUCAGGUUUGUUCAUGAAAUGAUGUAAAAUGUUCUGUGUUAUGCCUCAUUCAUGCAAUGGCUGAGGCAUACAGUGUUAACCCUUUUAGCUCACGUGAGUUCAAAGCUAAAGUAAGCUAUUCUGAUCACUUUUUGUCCAGCAUCAGUCUUUCGUCCUUUCCACAGGCAAUUGCAUCACUUGGGGUCGAAUUUACUAUAUAAAGAGUAAAGGUAUAGAACUCUAAAUAUAGGGUACCCAAGUUAGUCGAUGUAAAAACAAUAAAUUAAUUGAUAUAAAAUUCUACUUUGUAUUUUAAUUUAUUCAUACAUAAUCAUUCUACAUUACUACCAAAGGUCAUCCCGAAAUUCCGUAUACUUCCCAAGAUAUGCAGAAAUGAACUCGGAAAAAUGCCUAUUAUUUUUUUGGUUGACUUUUAGCUGGGCCCUGACACUAUACGACUACACAGAGUAUUUGAGCAUUGCAACAAGCUAUCAAAUAGAAUGUGCAGCAUAAAAUAUCAUUUCUAGAAUGAAUUUUUUACCCCAAUUCAUAAAAUGAAGUCCGUAAUAGCUCCAAGUGACUUGUAAAUUGUAGUUCACGUAUGAGUUGUAUCCCAUUAGUCUAGCAUAGUAUGUCAAAAUACUGGGUUUAUCCAUCUGCGCUUCCUCUCACUGGACAACAUGCUGCAUUGUUUAUUGUCAGUGGUCAUGUGUCUGAAUGUGUAGGCCAUUUCGGUUUGAUAAUGACCAAUUAGUGUUGCACUGUGUGUCCCACAAGCGGGGACAUUUGUCCUAUAUGCACUGUAGGACAGAAUUUCACAUCAAUAUCUUUAGACAUAGCUAUUUGCUACAGAAAAUGCAAUGGACCAGAUUGGAAUUCAAACCCAGGGUCCCAGAAUCUCUAGUCAGGUGCUUUCAGAACCUCUGGUCAGAUGCUCUCAGUCAGGUGCUCUCAGAAUCUUUAGUCAGGUGCUCUCAGAAUGUCUAGUUAGGUGCUCUCAAAAUUUCUAGAUAGGUUCUUUCAGAAUCUCUAGUCAGAUGCUAUCACAAUCUCUUGUCAGGUGCUCUCAGAAUCUCUAGUCAUGUGCUCUCAGAAUCUCUAGUCAUGUGCUCUCAGAAGCUUUAGUCAGGUGUUACAGAAUAUCUAGUCAGGUGGUCUCAGAAUCUCUAGUCAUGUGCUCUCAGAAGCUUUAGUCAGGUGUUACAGAAUAUCUAGUCAUGUGCUCUCAGAAUCUCUAGUCAUGUGCUCUCAGAAGCUUUAGUCAGGUGUUACAGAAUAUCUAGUCAGUUGGUCUCAGAAUCUUUAGUCAGGUGCUCUCAUAAUCUCUAGUCAGGUGUUUACAGAAUGUCUAGUCAGGUGCUCUCAGAAUAUUUGAGU